AGAGUUUGAUCCUGGCUCAGGACGAACGCUGGCGGCGUGCUUAACACAUGCAAGUCGAACGGUAAGGCCCCUUCGGGGGUACACGAGUGGCGAACGGGUGAGUAACACGUGGGUGAUCUGCCCUGCACUUCGGGAUAAGCCUGGGAAACUGGGUCUAAUACCGGAUAGGACCACGCUCUGCAUGGAGUGUGGUGGAAAGCUUUUGCGGUGUGGGAUGGGCCCGCGGCCUAUCAGCUUGUUGGUGGGGUGAUGGCCUACCAAGGCGACGACGGGUAGCCGGCCUGAGAGGGUGUCCGGCCACACUGGGACUGAGAUACGGCCCAGACUCCUACGGGAGGCAGCAGUGGGGAAUAUUGCACAAUGGGCGCAAGCCUGAUGCAGCGACGCCGCGUGGGGGAUGACGGCCUUCGGGUUGUAAACCUCUUUCAGUACCGACGAAGCGCAAGUGACGGUAGGUACAGAAGAAGCACCGGCCAACUACGUGCCAGCAGCCGCGGUAAUACGUAGGGUGCAAGCGUUGUCCGGAAUUACUGGGCGUAAGGAGCUCGUAGGUGGUUUGUCGCGUUGUUCGUGAAAACCCACGGCUUAACCGUGGGCGUGCGGGCGAUACGGGCAGACUGGAGUACUGCAGGGGAGACUGGAAUUCCUGGUGUAGCGGUGGAAUGCGCAGAUAUCAGGAGGAACACCGGUGGCGAAGGCGGGUCUCUGGGCAGUAACUGACGCUGAGGAGCGAAAGCGUGGGGAGCGAACAGGAUUAGAUACCCUGGUAGUCCACGCCGUAAACGGUGGGUACUAGGUGUGGGUUUCCUUCCUUGGGAUCCGUGCCGUAGCUAACGCAUUAAGUACCCCGCCUGGGGAGUACGGCCGCAAGGCUAAAACUCAAAGGAAUUGACGG
rnacentral:rRNA from 1 species